AACGAACGCUGGCGGCACGUUUUAAGCAUGCAAGUCGAACGGCAGUGGGGGCAACCCCAUGAGAGUGGCGAACGGGUGAGUAACACGUAGGUGAUCUGCCUCUGGGUUGGGGAUAGCCUGUGGAAACACAGGGUAAUACCGAAUGAGCUGACGGGGCUUUGGCCAAGUUAGUAAAGGUGCUACGGCACCGCCUAGAGAGGAGCCUGCGGCUGAUUAGCUAGUUGGUGGGGUAAAGGCCUACCAAGGCGACGAUCAGUAGCAGGCCUGAGAGGGUGUACGGCCACACGGGAACUGAGACACGGUCCAGACUCCUACGGGAGGCAGCAGCUAAGAAUCUUCCGCAAUGGGCGAAAGCCGGACGGAGCGAUGCCGCGUGAUCGAUGAAGGUCGAGAGAUUGUGAAGGUCUUUUCCAACUGAGUAAUAAGGGUCGGAGGGAAUGCCGAUCUGAUGACGUUAAGUUGGGAAUAAGCCCCGGCUAAUUACGUGCCAGCAGCCGCAGUAA
rnacentral:rRNA from 1 species